CGUCUCUGUGAACGCCCUCGGAGAGAGAGAUGCGUCUGUGUCAUCGCUGACAUGUUCACUCUAGUGCACUUGUUACGUUGAGGAAGUGGUGGUGAGUGGCACUUGGAUGAGUAUCAUCCGCUCUUGAUUUGGCACCGUGAGAAAACGCGUCAGAUGCCGCGCUGCGAUGGACGCGAUCGGAGUAUCGCACACGGAUCCGCUCGAUGACUAUGAGCUGAUACACCGCAUCGGCAGCGGGACAUACGGAGAUGUGUUUAAGGCCCGUAGCAUUAAGACUUCAGUCAUCACAGCUAUUAAAGUGGUCAAACUGGACCCUGGUGAUGACAUUUCAAGCAUUCAACAUGAGAUAACCAUGAUGAAAGAUUGCACUCACAAAAACAUUGUGGCCUAUUUCGGUAGCUACCUCAGAAAUAACAAGUUAUGGAUCUGCAUGGAAUUCUGUGGAGGAGGAUCAUUGCAGGAUAUUUACCAUGUCACUGGUCCUCUGAAAGAGAGACAAAUAGCUUAUGUGAGCAGAGAAACACUUCAGGGUCUACAUCAUCUCCAUCAAGGGGGGAAAAUGCAUAGAGACAUAAAAGGUGCCAACAUCCUUUUGACGGAGCGAGGAGAUGUCAAACUAGCGGAUUUUGGAGUGGCAGCUGAGAUCAACGCAUCUGUUGCUAAGAGAAAGUCCUUUAUCGGGACGCCAUACUGGAUGGCCCCAGAGGUUGCAGCAGUGGAAAGGAAAGGCGGUUAUAACCAGCUGUGUGACAUCUGGGCAGUGGGGAUCACAGCUAUUGAACUAGCAGAGCUGCAGCCGCCCAUGUUUGACCUACACCCUAUGAGAGCUUUGAUGCUAAUGUCCAAGAGCAGUUUUCAACCUCCCAAACUCAAAGAAAAGAACAAAUGGUCCACAGAAUUUCACAACUUCAUUAAAAUGGCUCUUAUAAAGAGCCCUCGGAAAAGACCGACAGCAGAAAAAAUCUUACAGCAUGCUUUUGUCACGCAGCUUCUCACACGUAACCUUGUUAUAGAGCUGCUGGAUGCAGUCAAUAACCCUGAUCUGCAGCAGACACACACUAUGGAUGAGAGUGACCUGGAGACAUGCAGUGUCCUACCUGAUAAGAUUCAUUCCCUAGCGAAACGUCCCAUUCAAAGAACUCGGUCUGAAGAGCAAUUCGGUCACGUGAAGUUUGGACCACCCAUGAGAAAGGAGACGGAUCCCUGUUCUGAUCUGGGGGCGUAUGAGGACUGGAGCUCUAUCAGUGCGGACAAGGACUCACCGAGUUUGUUAGAGUGUGUGGAAGAGGCCUUGAUGGAAAGGAGUUUGACUAUAAAGAGAGGCUCUUCUGCGGAGCACUCACCGGAUGAAGAGGAUAAAUAUGGGACGGUGAAGAGAGUGGUCUCUUCUCCCCAGUCAACAACUACAACAACCAAUCAAGAGAGAAAAGCUCCCACUCCCUGUUCCCUCUCCUCGCCUCUCAUUGGCUCCACGCCUCUGAAGGGCCCCGCCCCUGACUCUAACCCCGCCCUAGUCAAUGAAUCCGCUUUCCUGAUUGGUUCAACACUGUCAGAUCUGUCACUCCUCACAAACUCCUCCUUCUUCAGUGAUUCCACCAGUCUAGGUUCCCUUUGUUCAACACCAACUGAAGGUUUGAUAGCAGAGAGCUCUGUCACUCCAGACCCAGGAGGAACCAGGAGUCAUUUUCCCCCAAAUGACCCCCCUCUCUCUCCAGAAUGGAGCACUCUCAGGAGGAAACCAGAUGACUCUAAAGUUGUCCAUGGACUGCCACCUACACCACAAGUACAUAUGGGGGCCUGUUUCUCUAAAGUAUUCAACGGCUGUCCGUUAAAGACCCAAUGUGCUGUUACAUGGGUUCUACCAAAGACUAGAGAUCAGUACCUUAUGCUGGGUGCUGAGGAGGGCAUCUACACUCUCAACCUCAAUGAGCUCCAUGAGGACACCAUGGAAAAGUUGCUUCCUCAGAGAUGCAGUUGGUUGUACGUGAUGAACAAUGUCCUUAUGUCCAUCUCAGGAAAGUCAUCACAGUUGACUUCUCAUAGUCUGCCGGCCCUCUUUGAGUACCGCAGGAAUAUGCAGCGUAGACAGGGGCAUCUGGUGAUGAACGCACACCGCUUGAGCACAAAGAUAAGCGCAAGGAGGUAUGCCAUGUCAGUAAAGAUCCCAGACACCAAGGGCUGUAGAAGAUGCAGUGUGGUUCGAAACCCCUACACUGACAGCGUUUUCCUUUGUGCUGCUGUUCCCACUGGUUUGGUUCUUCUAAUGUGGUAUGAACCUCUGCAGAAGUUCAUGCAGCUCAAGCACAUUGCUCUGAAUCUGCCAGAGUCUCUGCCCGUCUUUGAGCUGCUCGUAAACGAAACAGAGGAGCUGCCACAGGUCUGUGUGGGGGUGAGAAGCUAUACCUGCCAAAAAGACAACACUGGACAGAUGUACUUUGACAUCAUUCACCUGGAUGACACACCACAAAGUCUACCAGAUGGUGAGUCUUUGGAGGUCAAACAAGUGAUUCAGCUCGACAGGGACACAGUUCUCAUAGCACUGAAAAACACGGUGAGGGUUGUGAAUCUUCAGGGAUAUCUGAGCCAUCAGAAGACCUCUGAACUUGCUUUUGAGUUUCCCAUUCAGACACUGGUGUGUCUACAGGACAGUGUUCUUGUCUUCUGGAAACAUGGUCUGAAAGGAAGGAGUUUACAAACGAAUGAGGUUACCCAGGAGAUCACAGACAGAAGUCGGGUUUUCCAAGUUUUGGGAACAACUAGGGAUAUUAUCUUGCAAAGCACUCCUACGGAUGAUCCGUCUGCCAUGAGCAACCUGUACAUCCUCACUGGGCAUGAAAGCAGCUACUGAUGGGACUGAAACGCUGAGAAUGUUCAGUAAUAGCUGGAAACACUACAAAGGUUCCCUACUGAAAGGGUAGAGUCAGCAGGCCCAAAAAGCUCCAGGAACAGAGGAAGACAUGAUAAAGUCACAUACACAGGUCUCCAGAGGCUUUGAGGACCGGAGGCAGAAUUGGAGUUGACGUGGAUGAACAAAGAUCAACCAUGAGAGAGUGACCUGUGGACCUGCAUACUGUGUUGAAAUAACUUGUGAAUCAGGCUGCUAUGGGUUCUGUUUAAUACUAGACACUCUGUUGUAUUCCUUGUUUCAGGAAAUACCAUGUCAUAUAUCAACGUUUUUGUGCAGUGGUUCAGAACUAUCUUCCAUUGGCCACCGUACGCUACUCUUGUGUUGGACGGGGUGAAGACCGUAGAGAGCCGCUGGCGGCCCCUGCUGUCAGGACUGAGGAACUGCACGCUAGCGGUUCACAUCGCUCAGAAGAGCUGGGAGGGAGAGGACUGGAGACUCAUCC